rnacentral:rRNA from 1 species
CAGCAGCCGCGGUAAUACGAAGGGUGCAAGCGUUACUCGGAAUUACUGGGCGUAAAGCGUGCGUAGGUGGUGGUUUAAGUCCGUUGUGAAAGCCCUGGGCUCAACCUGGGAAUUGCAGUGGAUACUGGGUCACUAGAGUGUGGUAGAGGAUAGUGGAAUUUCCGGUGUAGCAGUGAAAUGCGUAGAGAUCGGAAGGAACAUCUGUGGCGAAGGCGGCCAUCUGGGACAACACUGACGCUGAGGCACGAAAGCGUGGGGAGCAAACAGGAUUAGAUACCCCUGUAGUCUCUGUCUCUUAUAC